CUUGUCCUUUCCAGGCUUCUGGGUGGUACAGGAGUUGGCUGCAGCUGGAGAAGCCCCAUCAUUCCUGUGGACGGACUGGCUGGAACCAGAGCCAGAGAAGCCCCUGAUUCUCCAGAUGGGUAGAGCCUUGGAAAGCAAACAGGGCGACCUAAAACAACGGCCAAGGCAUCCUGCAUGUUUCGUUUCUACUGCGACUUUUUCACUUUCCCCAUUUCGAUAGCUUUCGAGAGAACACCGAGCUAUGUUUCCCUUUGAAUUGUGUGUGCAUACAGUGUGCAGAGUCUAGGGAAGAAAACAAAACCAAACAAGAGCCUCAUUGAAGAAGAAGACAUUUUGAGGCUGGUGUGUUCUCCCCACCCUGUGUGCAGGCGUUUGAGGCUCAGGCCAUAACAGCAAUAAAACAACACUACUCCUUGUUUUCCUGGAA